rnacentral:tRNA from 1 species
GCAUUGGUGGUUCAGUGGUAGAAUUCUCACUUUCCAUGUGGGAGACUGGGUUCAAUUCCUGACUAGUGCA